GCAAGUAUAUGAUCAGGGAAAGCCUGGUUUUGUCUGCCAAGGAGGAUGAAUUAAUCAAUAUUGGAGAUGUGAGAUUGCAUUGCCUACCAUAAAAGAAAAGAGGACAAAGGUAAUGUCUUAGAUGCUGAAACACAAAGCAAGCUAUACCUGACCAGAGGAUAUCUGCUGUCACAAUGAAUAAACUGGGACUCUCUCACCAUCUCGGCUGCUGGUAGCUCAAAGAGGAGGAACAUCAGGAGAGAUGAACAGACAGGAAAGAUGUGUGGCUUCCACUAGGAGCCCAUUUCAAUUUCUUGCCUGCUUAAGAAAAAGGUAAAGCAAAGCAACUGUUUGUGGGUUAAGGGUAUAAUAAUUACAAAGGAGGAAACAGCAUGUAA